rnacentral:rRNA from 1 species
GAUGAACGCUGACAGAAUGCUUAACACAUGCAAGUCAACUUGAACUUCGGUUUGGGUGGCGGACGGGUGAGUAACGCGUAAAGAACUUGCCUCACAGAUAGGGACAACAUUUGGAAACGAAUGCUAAUACCUGAUAUUAUGAUUAUAUGGCAUCGUAUAAUUAUGAAAGCUAUAUGCGCUGUGAGAGAGCUUUGCGUCCCAUUAGCUAGUUGGAGAGGUAACGGCUCACAAAGGCGAGGAUGGGUAGCCGGCCUGAGUGGGUGAUCGGCCACAAGGGGACUGGGACACGGCCAUUACCCCAACGGGAGGCAGAAGUGGGGAAUAUUGGACAAGGGACCAAGAGUGUGAUACAGAAAUUCUGUGUGCACGAUGAAGUUUUUCGGAAUGUAAAGUGCUUGCAGUUGGGAAGAAAAAAAUGACGGUACCAACAGAAGAAGUGACGGCUAAAUACGUG